AACGAAGGCAAGCAUACUAGCCUGGUCACCUCCGUAAUCCCACCAAUGGAACUGAGACACGCUGCCCUAUCAUGUCUUCUACAACAUCCGAGCUGGACAGAACCGACCAUCCUAUCGUGUUCACUUUGAUGAAUAUCACAUUGUGGACGGCUAUCUUUCUGUUCGUUGCCCUGCCCUUUGGGGUCACUUGUUCCCUACUGCUUGUUUUCGUGCGCACGUUGUGUGUGAUUUAUCCUUCAAGGGACAUUGCCGAGCUCGCAGACUUCCUUGAAAUCUCGCAGUUGAUGCCAGAGUUCUGCAUGGCGCAUCUCCUGGCCAACAACGAUUUUACCAUCUUCGUUGAUGGGAGACACACAUUUCUCGGAGUGAUGGGCACACCAGUCUGAUUAGGCUGUCUGGGCAAAACUUCGAUACCUGAAGCGAAUCGAAGCGAAGGACAAACCCAACAGGCCAGUACAACAGUAACAACACUGCUACUGCUACACAGCUUCUUUACCAUGGCAUAAAAAGGAAGGGGUGGAACUUCUUUCCACAUCGACGCUGUGGAUAACAUUCACUACUGCCAGAACAUACUGCAUAGAAAUUUGUAAGCUACUCUGUGUGUGCUCACGACACAGCAAAGAUGUCUUCUACGAUCACCGAUGUCUGGAGGUCAGUCUUUUGGCAUGCAGUCCCGGUUGCAGUUGCCUGGCCCAUCGGCCUCGUAUGUGCCUUCGCCUUCGUAGUCAUCUCACCGUUUUAUGCAGUUUCACUCGCUGCGUGAAAUCGUUGAAAACCCCCGUAUUGGGAUGGAGCUACCCUAUAGAGUGGCGCGGCAUUUAGCAAGAGACACGCCAUUGGAUCAGAGAACAAGUUAAAACGGGACUAAGCAAAAGUGAGCCAUAUCAUGUUGAAGGAUCUAAGCCAUUAUCAACAUCCAUAUAAUCUACUGGAUCUAGUUCAUCAUGGUGAACAGAAGUGUACAAUCCUUGCGGCUUUCUAGUGUAGUGUACGCAAGAUUACUGCCCUGCGUGCGACAGCGAAGAAGUGGCGACCUUGCAAUUCUCUCGGUCUCAGACACAAUGUUUUUAUCUGGCUCAAGAUAGUGAAAAAAUAGUGUACAAUUCUGCCCUCAACUAUGGAGACAAAUGGCUGACUCUUGGAGAAGAAAAAUAAGUGUGCAGUUUUGUAAUCAAUAAUAAGCUAUCAUGGUGGACCGGUGAAUCAGACAAAUUAUAUUCAGCCCAUGAAAGUGAAACUAUAGCCUACAAUUAAAGAUGGAGUGAUCUCGCAUCACUGCUUCAACCAUUCAUUUGAUUUUUGUUUCCCACACAAGUAAGGCAAAUUUUAAUAGGCGAGCGGCGUCAGCCCUUCACUUCAAACAAGGGAUUGAAUUACACGCAAAAACUUUAUUCUUACGCGACUUAAAAAACAACAACAACAUUCUAAAGCCCAAGUUCAACUAUGAGGUUGUGCAUGAAACCUUGAAUGACCGAAUACACAUGCUGUAUACAUCAUAUGCAAAGGGCUAUUUCAGAUUUGAAUUUGUGACUGCACUACGACCUAAAGGCGAAAGAAGAUUUUUUUUUCUUUAAUUUUUGUUUCUUUUUUUGGAAUACAGGUAACUACCUCAGGAGCAGUAUCUCUGUCAAAAAGGUGAUGUAAUUUGACGAAAUAAAAGCUGAGCUAUACGUUCAAAACAAAACUA
rnacentral:lncRNA from 1 species